rnacentral:rRNA from 1 species
GGAGUCUAGCAUGUGCGCGAGUCAUUGGGAUUCGUAGCUAAACCUAAAGGCGAAAUGAAAGUGAAGGCGCGCCUCGCGCGCGCCGAGGGAGGAUGGGCUUGGCUCCGUGCCUCGCCCCGCACUCCCGGGGCGUCUCGUUCUCAUCGCGAGAAGAGGCGCACCCAGAGCGUACACGCUGGGACCCGAAAGAUGGUGAACUAUGCCUGGUCAGGACGAAGUCAGGGGAAACCCUGAUGGAGGUCCGUAGCGAUUCUGACGUGCAAAUCGAUCGUCGGAACUGGGUAUAGGGGCGAAAGACUAAUCGAACCAUCUAGUAGCUGGUUCCCUCCGAAGUUUCCCUCAGGAUAGCUGGCGCUCGCUUUUGCGAGUCUCAUCCGGUAAAGCGAAUGAUUAGAGGCAUUGGGGUCGAAACGGCCUCAACCUAUUCUCAAACUUUAAAUGGGUGAGAUCUCCGGCUUGCUUAAAUUUUAUUUAUGAAGCCGCGAGAUCGGAUCAGAGUGCCAAGUGGGCCAUUUUUGGUAAGCAGAACUGGCGCUGUGGGAUGAACCAAACGCGGAGUUAAAGCGCCUAAAUCGACGCUUAUGGGAUACCAUGAAAGGCGUUGGUAACUUAAGACAGCAGGACGGUGGCCAUGGAA